rnacentral:rRNA from 1 species
CCUACGGGAGGCAGCAGUGAGGAAUAUUGGUCAAUGGACGAGAGUCUGAACCAGCCACGUCGCGUGAAGGAUGACUGCUCUAUGGGUUGUAAACUUCUUUUAUAUGGGAAUAAACAGGGUAUGCAUACUCUCUUGUAUGUACCAUCUGAGUACGGAUCGGCUAACUCCGUGCCAGCAGCCGCGGCAAUACGGAGGAUCCGAGCUGUAUCCGGAUUUAUUGGGUGUAAAGGGAGCGUAGGUGGAUUGGUAAGUCCGUUGUGAAAGUUUGCGGGUCAACCGUAAAAUUGCAGUUGAAACUGGGAGUCUUGAGUGCAGUAGAGGUGAGCGGAAUUCGUGGUGUAGCGGUGAAAUGCUUAGAUAUCACGAAGAACUCCGAUGGCGAAGGCAGCUCACUGGACUGCAACUGACACUGAGGCUCGAAAGUGUGGGUAUCAAACAGGAUUAGAUACCCGAGUAGUC